rfam:Sphaeroforma arctica JP610 cont1.11965, whole genome shotgun sequence.
AACGCUUCUCGGCCGAUUGGCUAAGAUCAAGUGUAGUAUCUGUUCUAAUCAGUUUAAUCACUGGUUUUCUACUAUAUGUAGAAACUAUGAUUAAUACACUUUUUGUGCAUAGGAGGUGGUGCGGUGGAUUUAUUCACGGCUUCUCCACGCAUGGCCUUUGCCUUCGCACUUUCGCGAAGGCCGUGCACAUAUG